rnacentral:rRNA from 1 species
GGGGAAUUUUCCGCAAUGGGCGAAAGCCUGACGGAGCAACGCCGCGUGAGGGAUGAAGGCCUCUGGGCUGUAAACCUCUUUUCUCAAGGAAGAAGAUCUGACGGUACUUGAGGAAUAAGCCACGGCUAAUUCCGUGCCAGCAGCCGCGGUAAUACGGGAGUGGCAAGCGUUAUCCGGAAUUAUUGGGCGUAAAGCGUCCGCAGGCGGUCUUUUAAGUCUGUCGUCAAAGUGUGGAGCUUAACUCCAUUUCUGCGAUGGAAACUGGGAGACUAGAGUGUGGUAGGGGCAGAGGGAAUUCCCGGUGUAGCGGUGAAAUGCGUAGAUAUCGGGAAGAACACCAGUGGCGAAGGCGCUCUGCUGGGCCAUAACUGACGCUCAUGGACGAAAGCCAGGGGAGCGAAAGGGAUUAGAUACCCCUGUAGUCA